CUACUAAAGUGUUUGUGCAAUUUCCAUUAGAGCAGUGUUAAAGAUCUGGGAUGCAGUCAAAGCUGGAAAUAAGAUCAAAAGCACACAUUUGUUUGACUAAAUUAUUAUUUUUUUUUGUCUCAAAUCCUUCCUAGGUAAUAACUAACCUUUUAAUUAAAGAUAAAAGUUUUAAUUCUUUUUAUAAAAGAAAGAUAAGACAGGGUGAUGACCUCAUAUAUUUAUUUUUUAUCAGAUUUUCAUUAAAUGCGAAUGGUAGGGGUUGGAUUAAAAGAUAUACACAUGUGACAAAAUAUCCAGACUGAAUGAGAGAAGCUGGAGCUCAUUAGUGUGUGUUGACACAAGGAAACAAGAGACUGACUUCCAUCAGGGCUCUGAUAGAUCACAUCAGUGCUGGACUGCAAGCAGUGUUUUUAUUAGCAAAACGUGUCAGAACAGCAGGAUUUUAUCUGGGUUAACACACUGGAAUAUCAGCAUCCCACCUGGCCCCUGAUCCUGCUACUAGCUGAUGUCAUGUCUAAUUUCCUGUCCGCUUUCUCUCCCCGUCGACUCCUGAAUCGUCCAUCUGGAGAUAUAUGUCUGUCAGUCAUAUGGCACACACUCACAAUCAUUCAAAAGUGUGGGAUCUGUCAAUGGCCCACAAUCUGAACUGAAGAUGACCAGCAGGAAUGGCUCCCUGUCCUCGUGAUGACCCGGAGCGUGUGUGAGUGUGUGUGUGAAGGUGUCCCUCCACAAAGCCUCAUCCGUGCACUUAAUCAUGUGCUAGCCACCAGCUUACACAGACUGUCUGGAGAAGAAACAGGCCAAUAUGGACUGUCAGUAAUCAACAUGGCAUUUAGUCAUUCCCUGCCAAUUAGCAAAGCAUUACCAGCCCCGGGUCAAAGGCGGAGCCGCACGCCAGCCGGCGGAUGAAACCGGAGUGAUGUGCUCUCCACGGAGGAUCAUCUGAUGUCACCACUGCCCAAGCCCAAUGCCGGUGCAUGGAGGGGUCAGAGCAGGUUGUUUCAGUCUCAGCAACGAGCAGAGACUGCCGAUGGGCGCUUUGUGCACGGCUCUGAAAAGAUCCGCGAGUCUGGGCCGAUGGGACAGAGUUAAGGGGGUCGGAAUGGUCAGGCUGGUAUAAAUACUUCUCAUUGUGCACAUUAAGGAGAUGCUCCCAGCAGGGAGUCCAUAAAGCUCCAGAGGCAACACUAACACCCAAUGCGGCUGCUUCCCCCCACCGUCCUGGAGAAACACCUCACGUCUGGCUUAGAAACAAGCUGAGAGUGAGGAGAUGAUGAGUGCAUAAAAGACAAAAAGAGCGCUUGUCAUAAUGUUCCAGGGUUGUUUUCUAAUUUAUGAAUUCCGUUAUAAAAGUUGCUCCAACUUUACUUUGUGCUCUACUUUCCGAAUUGGGGACAAAGAGAACCUAGAAACUUUCAUAAAAUAGGUGUAUCUUAUUAAACCUGUGAAGAAAAUGUUUAUUGGUCAUAUUUCAUU